GCCCUUGCAGAGGACCUGGUUUGAGUCCUAAGAUCUACAACCACCUAUAACUCCAGUUCCAGGGUGUAUGAACCCCUCUUCUGACUUAUGAAGUUUCCCCAGGUAUUCAUGCAUGCUUUCCCAAGAAAAGAAGGCUAGAAGGGAGACAGUAACAAGAUUCACCAACUGGGUGCAUCAGCUCAACGGUGCAGAGUGACAUGAUUCAAGAGGACAAGGAUGCUCAGCCUGGGACACCAGGGGCCUGCAGUUGAUCUUCCUGAUCCUACCUGCCCUAGCCCAGGCAUCUACCUGUCACAGUGCUUCCUCAGCUGCUCCCAAAUCAGCAGGACCAUCUCUGUCUUCAUCCACUGCAAGUAGGGGCUCAUGGAUCCUGACGUGUCCAGUACAAUGCACACAUUGCUUUCCAAGAUGGUGCCAAACAGCCUGCGGCUCCCUGCUCCAUGGUGGGUGGUAGAGGCAGGGAAGGGGUAAGAUGUUAGUUUUCCUCAUGGUAUCCACAAAAUACAGAGUCGUGAAGCA